CUCAUUAAAACAGUUAUAGUUUAUUUGAUGGUCUCUUUUGUCUUUUUUACCUACUUGGAUAACCGUGGUAAUUCUAGAGCUAAUACAUGCGCAAGGUCCCGAGCGCGGGGGCAGGGCUUCACGGCCCUGUCCUCGCAUGCGCAGAGGGGUGUAUUUAUUAGGUUAAAAACCAGCACAUUUAAAUUCCAUACUGGUGAUUCAUAGUAACUCUUUCGGAUCGCAUUCAUG
rnacentral:rRNA from 1 species